GACGAACGCUGGCGGCGUGCUUAACACAUGCAAGUCGAACGGAAAGGCCCUGCUUUUGUGGGGUGCUCGAGUGGCGAACGGGUGAGUAACACGUGAGUAACCUGCCCUUGACUUUGGGAUAACUUCAGGAAACUGGGGCUAAUACCGGAUAGGGGCUCCUGCUGCAUGGUGGGGGUUGGAAAGUUUCGGCGGUUGGGGAUGGACUCGCGGCCUAUCAGCUUGUUGGUGGGGUAGUGGCUUACCAAGGCUUUGACGGGUAGCCGGCCUGAGAGGGUGACCGGCCACAUUGGGACUGAGAUACGGCCCAGACUCCUACGGGAGGCAGCAGUGGGGAAUAUUGCACAAUGGGCGGAAGCCUGAUGCAGCAACGCCGCGUGCGGGAUGACGGCCUUCGGGUUGUAAACCGCUUUCGCCUGUGACGAAGCGUGAGUGACGGUAAUGGGUAAAGAAGCACCGGCUAACUACGU
rnacentral:rRNA from 1 species